GGAGGGGAAGAGUCUUUCUGCCUCAGGUGCAAAAAUCACUUGACCAGUUUGCUGAAGGGUCAUUUGCUGCUCCACUUCAGGCAGCAAAAUGUCUUGAGGGUAGUUCUACACUUCCUGUAUUUGUCUUUAUGGAAACGACUUGCUUGGUAAAUCCUGUUUGCUGAAGACACUUUCUCUUUCUGCGCACGCAGAAGGCAAAAGGCAAAGCUGGCAUCAAAACGAAUGGGUCAGCCAGGCAGGUAAGAUUCAAUAUGAGUUGCUUGUCUUUAGGAUCUAAACGAGCUUUGCUUACAAGGGCUCAUCCUCUAUUUCCCCACGGCUGUCUCUGAAUCCUUCCAAGGAUUAGCAUUAGGAGUGAAGCCAGGCAAACAGGGAAGGAUGCAAAUGGCUUAGCUGGGAUUUCUCAAGCACAGCUCAGUGUCACUCAAAAGUGCCUUUAACCAUCUCUGUUACAGGACUGAGAUUUCCUGAUCUUAUAGUGCGGGUGAGAUUUAUUUCUCUUUGAAACAAUCUCUCACUUUACUGUGGAUGUAUCACUAUAGAUCUGGAUAAAACUAUUGAUGAAAGGAACAACAACUUGCAGGGACAGCAUGACUACAGUCUGGAGUCAGAUAAGCAUGGUGACCAUUCUCAGUUGAAGCAGCUGGUGACAGCACAAUCAUCCUAGUCUUGCUAUGGUAAUUGACUCCUCCUAACGUGACUACUCUUCUGAAUUGUCAUUGUGCUUAUCUUGAAUACAAUUAGGCGUGAUAAAGACUCACUGAAAUAAAUGGACAUAAGUUAUUUUAUUUAUUUAUUAAAUUUCUAUACUGUCCUUCACCCGAAGAUCACAGUGUGGUUUAUGAUUUUAACCCCCCCCCCCAACCAAUACAUAACACAGUACAAACAAAACAAUACUUAAAAGCCUACCCUAGAGAUCCACCAGGAAACAGAAUUAAAUAAAACUUUGGUUUUCAUGCUCAUGGGAUUGUAAGGGACAAGGAGCAUAUCAGCAGAUGUGAUGGGUGUGUAAUUAUGUAUGCAAGUUCUUGGAAGUGGGUUGUAAUGGAGAUUGACAUUAUUGUUGGCAAACUGAUGACCUUUGAUGCUAAGCAUCUUAUACAUUUUUGAUGGUGCCAAUGUUGACCUUACUUCUCAACAAUUAUUUCUAUAUCUGUUGGUUGCUGCUCAUCUAGUGAUCUCUCAAGUGUGGAAAAAGUUCACAUAUUUAUUUAUUUAUUCUUGCAAUCUGCAAUUCAGACUAAGUUUAGCAAAGUUAACUUCCAUUGAAAUCAAUGGGACUUCAUUUAGUCUUGACUAACUUGCCCCAUUGAUUUCAGUGAAACCUUAGCUUAGCUUGGAUCCAACCCCAUGUUUCAAAAUCCCUGCACUGUUUGACAUCCCUACCAAAAUUGAAUAAUAUGAACACACCCCUUUCCCAAAUUCUGACUAUUGUUUGGUAGUAUUAGAUGAAGCCUUGCAGCGGGAUAAUGGACAGCCUACUGAGAGUUUGUGUUAUGCUUCCUUUACAUUAGUGUUGAUUGAUAAAGUUGCAUAAGAACUCCAGAUAUGCUGCCAAUUGUUUUAUUGCUGCUUUAAAUUUGGCUAAAGGCGUGGGAGAAAGAUGCUUUGCAUGACAAGCCAUUAAUCUAAGCCAUCACUCACCAUGCAGAAACUCUGAUUCCUUUUUCACCAGCCUGCUGCAAACUCUCCCAAAAUUAGUCACAAUCAAUGACCAUGGGUGGGUAAUAGACAUGUCAUCAAUCAAUGAUUCUCCCAGGGGUAGACUAUUGAUGAAACUUAGUACUGUGUACUGUGCACCAGGUAGAGUUCUCACUUCUCUGAUUUACCAAGGAAGUAAAACAAUCGUGAUGAAUGAAGCAGUGGGGAGGACAUUAGUGGCAUUUGUCUAUAUGAACCCUAUGGGUUCUUGGAAGGCCAGAAAGAAACUGUGAGACUGAUACUGCCAAUAAGAUAGCAAACACAUAAUAAAGACUUGAAUACUGUAUUUUUUGCUCUAUAAGACUCACUUCCCCCCCCCAAAAAAAGUAAGGGGAAAUGUGUGUGCGUCUUAUGGAGCGAAUGCAGGCUGCGCAGCUAUCACAGAAGCCAGAACAGCAAGAGGGAUUGCUGCUUUCACUGCACAGUGAUCCCUCUUGCUGUUCUGGCUUCUGAGAUUCAGAAUAUAUUUUUUCUUGUUUUCCUCCUCCAAAAACUAGGUGCGUCUUGUGGUCUGGUGCGUCUUAUAGAGCAAAAAAUACAGUAUAUUAUUCCCAGGUGCAUUUGAUAGUAGAAAGUGUGUGUGAUGUGUACAUGUGUAUGGAUGUGUGUGUGUCAGAGUGUGUGCUGAUGUUGCCCUGAUUGCUUUUUGCAACCAUCAUCUGGCCCUUGGAAUCAUGGCCAUGCAGGAAUAUGGCCCUCAAGCUGACAAGGCUCCCCAUCUCUGUUUGUGAUUGUGGUAAGGGCCCUGACCACAAUGCGUCUGUGGAAGGCAGCAAAAGCAUUUUAACAUUUGUGGGUGUCCCCACCCUUAGCCACUGAGUUGUUCUUCCUAACCUAUAAAAACCAAGGGCAGGCCAAUGCUUCUGGCGAUGCAUUUCAGUUCCUUUGUGUGUGAAAAAGCCUGCCUUGGCUUUGGGAGGUAAUAAAUAAACAAAUUGAUACCUUGUCCCCUAAGCCUCCUCAAAUAUUUCCUUGGGAAGAAAAUUACUUCCAUCUGUUCUGAGUAGGUUGUUCUAGUGAAAGAUAGACCCAUUUGCAUGAAAAUAAGUGUCCUUGUUGUUGUGGCUAACCCUACAGAGAAUCUUGUCUAAUGCCACAGUUGAAGCAAAGUUCACGAGCGAUUCUCUGCAAUGGCAGGGUUAUGAUUAUCUCCGUAGAAUUACCUAUUUAUUUAUGAGCUUGGGUUAUUUCAUCUUAAGUAAAUAUACUUGACAGUUGCUGUUGUUUGUUUGGAUUAUAAAAAAUCCAUUUCUGCUGGUAAGGUGGAUUCUGAGUUAAUCCUGGAAGCCCUCAGAAGUUAAUAUUCUUAGUGUAUUCCUUUCUUCACCAACUGCGCUCCCGGUCUUCUUGACAGAGCUCACCCAGACAUUUAUAAUGAAAGUUGUGCUUGACUGUCACAAUCCUGUGCAAGCACAGAAAAAUCACAGAAUGUGGCACUGGAUGCAGAAUGGAACUCUGGGGACAUGGCAACAUUCCUAUAGAAAUAGUCACAAUCACCCUUUAUCCCACUGGUAGCAAUAAUGAAUUCUUCGUGUCACACCUAGAGAACUCCACUCCACUUGUCGGUGUUAUUCUCAAAAUAUCAUCACAUUCUUCUCUGUGCAUCAUCACAGCAUAUGCCAGAGAGUCGGCUUUGUUUUUAGUUAAGUUCCCCCCACCUUUUUAAUCCAAUCCUCCACCGCAGAUUUCUGUGUUUCAAAAUAGAGAAGAAAUGCAGGUGUUAGAAUCAGCAUAGUUUAUUAAACGUAAAUGUUAUGUGUGAUUCAUCUGCAUAAACAAAGCUUGCAAGGAAAAAUGUGGAAGGCUCCUGUGGGUGUUUUCAUUUGUGAGAUGCUAAGCUCUGAAGUUGUUCAUUGUUUUCUACCUAGAAAAAGAAAAAUGUAAUCUUUUACUUUAGGGCCAGGAUAGGGACUCUCCAGAUGUUUUUGAACUUCCAGCCGGCAUGUUCAGUAGUCAAGAAUGAAAGGGGAUUGAGUCUGACAGACCACUGAUUCUCCACUCCGUGUGUGUGUGUGUGUGUGUGUGUGUGUGUGUUUUAAUUAGUAAAGGCUGGGGUCAGUACUUUAGCCAGCUUGGUUGUACAUCUUGGCUAAUCAUAUUACAAAAUUCAGGAUGCAAACUUUAUAGUUUUCUUCUAAAUUUAUUUUGCUUUUUCUAGAAUUUACUAUUUUACUGCUUGAAUGCUUCAGAAAACAGCUUACCACCUCAAGCACUUGUAAUUACUCUCUGUAUUUUAUCCGCUUCUCGUCUGUUACUUUCAUAUUCUUAUCCAUCACAAGCUAGGUUCUGGGGAGUAAGGAAACAACUCACACUUGCAGAGACACCAACUGUGAAGUUGUAUAUAUAGCAGGGCUAGCCAAUAGGGUUUCCUCCAGAUGUUGUUGAAUUACAACCCCACCACCACCAUCCGUGGCCAUUGGCCAUGCUGGUGGGGGCUGCUAGGACUACCAUGAGGCUACCCCAGAGAGGACUACCAUGAGCUGUAAAUCCUACUGGGUUUAUUAGGGCUAACUUCCUGAUAAGUCUGCAUAUGACUGCAGCCUAAAGCAGAUUAUAGGAUCAUUAAGGACAGUCUCUCUGAAGAUAAGAAGAUCAUUAAUCUCCAGAAAUGAAAUGUUUGGCCAUUUGACCAUACAUUGCGGUGGGUCGGGGACACUAAUGCUUUUUUUUUUUUAAUGGACACCACAAAUGUCUGGACAAUAUAUUUUUCUAUAUUGUUGCAUGCCACCCCUAUCUCUGAGCAUUGUGAGAUUCCAUAGGUUCCAGGCGCUUACCAUGUUUCCUUCAGCAUGAGAGACAAUGGAGGCUGUGGUGUCUUCAGGAUACAUGGUUUAUUUACAUAUACAGUCAUACCUUGGAAGUCAAACAGGUUAGUUCUCGAAUGUUUUGGCUCCCAAAUGCCGCAAACCCGGAAGUAACUGUUCUGGUUUGCGAACUAUUUUUGGAAGCCGAACGUCUGACGGGGCUUCCGUGGCUUCCAAAUGGCUACAGGAGCUUCCUGCAGCCAAUCAGAAGCCGUGCUUUGGUUUCCGAACGUUUUGGAAGUUCCAUUCGACUUCCAGAACGGAUUCCGUUUGGCUUCCAAGGUACGGCUGUACGACUGUAUACACAACCUGAUCCUAUGAUGGAGAGGCUCACAGCAUUAAAAACCUUGCUUCCCUGGAUAGUUUUCUCCACUGUGACAAGGAUCUGCAAAACCCAGUGCUACCUCUGCAAAGUCCUGUGAAAGAUUGUGAAAUGUGAUGAGGACACUCAGUGGUCUGAUUAGUUGGGAUCCUUCAUGUGACCAGGACUGCCCUCACACUCUCAGUCAGCUUUGUUGUCCCUCAGUAAAGAAGAAGAAGAGGAGAAGAGUUUGGAUUUGAUAUCCCGCAUUAUCACUACGCGAAGGAGUCUCAAAGCGGCUAUGUUUAAUCCAGAGGUUUCUGUACACACUUCUCUCCAUCUGGCAAGUAGAAGAGGAGUUUGGAUUUGAUAUCGCGCUUUAUCACUACCCGAAGGAGUCUCAAAGUGGCUAACAUUCUCCGUUCCCUUCCUCCCCCACAACAAACACUCUGUGAGGUGAGUGAGGCUGAGAGAUUUCACAGAAGUGUGACUAACCCAAGGUCACCCAGCAGCUGCAUGUGGAGGAGCGGGGACGCGAACCCGGUUCACCAGAUUACCAGUCCACCACUCUUAACCACUACACCACACUGGCUUUUUACACAGCCCAAUCUGCUAUGCAGUGCUGUGAUAUCAUCACUUCCUCUGUGUUCCCUGAUUGCCUGGGAUCACAUCAGGAAGCAACAUAACUAGAGGUGGGGUUGCAAUAUUUUGAAGAGCAAAAAAGAGGACACAUUUGCCGACUUCUACUUUUAACUAUAGAUCUCUAUGACAACUCUCAUUUUACAUACCCAUGAAAGAGAGGGUGUGUCCUGGAAAAAGAGGACAUAUGGCAACCCUAUAAGGAGGACAAACAAAUAGUGGAAAACAGGCAAAAACAAACAAAUAAGCAGAUAUCACCACCAUUAGGGAAGGAAUUUUUGGUGAACAUUUUAACUCCUCAGCAGCGUAUUUUCAACUCAAAAGGGGAGAAUAUUCUACGCAGCCCCUAAUUUCAAAUGCUUCUGUAAUGAAAUGGAAAACUACAAAGUACUCAGAUAUCCAUUAAGCUCCCAACACAAUUCUUCAGUUGCUAAUUAAAAUAAUAAGAAGACACAGUCAUGGAGCUGAAACGCAUUAGCAGAGAUCUUUAAAAAUUAGCUAGAGCUUGAAACAGAAAAUCCCUUCUGUGCCUGCUUGUAAAAGACUGGCUGAUAAAUGUUUACAAGGAAUCAACACGGGACGGACACCUUUGUUGCCAUUGUUCGUGCCACCAUCAUGUACAAUGAUGCUGGAAUCCAGGUUUUUCCAGGUUUGUAAAUUAUGCUGGGGCCCAGCAGAUGAGUAUGAGCUUCAAAAUGGGACUCCAAAGUCAUAUCUUAUAUGGCAAAUAUAAUUAAGGAUGCAUAAACACAGUGCAAUUGGUCCUGGAACGAAGUAUUGAAAACAGGAAUCACAGAACAAAUAUGCACAGCUGCUGAUUGCCAAGAAAAGAGAAUUGGGAGGAGGCAAUGAAAUCACAUCCUGUCUAGUGCUGAAGAGAGUUUCUGAAGCUUUAUUAACGAAAGCACACCAUUGAGCUCACCUAAUAUACACUAAAUCAAAGGAGAUUAUAAUAAGCAGCACUGCUGUAUAAAGGCACCAGUUCUAGGUCACCUAGAAAAACUCUUGCUUCGCAACACCUUGGAAAGAAUACAGUUCACAGUUUGGCACAAGCAGGAAGCAGGAACCUGAAACACUUGUGAAUGAUGAACAAAGCAAUUGAAAGGGAGUUGUGUGUAGGUGUUUUUUUAUUAUUAUAUCUUAAUUGCCCCAAGACUGCAUGGUUAAUAAAGUUGAAGGGCUUUCUCCUCAAUCAGUAUUGAUGAAACACCUCGAAACUAACAGUCCCUGUAGGCUCAAUAACAGACACGGGAAACACAUUCCAUUCAGUAAGCUCUACUUCAAAGAGAAGCCUGCAUUGCAGAAGAAGAAGAGGGUGGAAUCACUGCAAAUAAAGAUACAUCAGUUCUGCAAGUUGCGUGUGGGAGAAGUGUGCAACUGGAGGUUCCCAAGAGGGGACAGCUGGCAGUCAUGCGACUGUGAAAAGCACACACAUGGAGGAGGGUUCACAAUCCACUGGACAAGGGAGAUCAGCAGUGUGGAGACCCCAGAAACAGAAGGGAGAGAUUGUGAGCAGGCAGGCAUAGGGGUCGUGUUUCACUAUUUUAUCCAGGUUGCCCCGAAGCCUUCUGUUGUUGUUGUUGUUUAGUCGUUUAGACGUGUCCGACUCUUCGUGACCCCAUGGACCAGAGCACGCCAGGCACUCCUGUCUUCCACUGUCUCCCGCAGUUUGGCCAAACUCAUGCUGGUAGCUUCAAGAACACUGUCCAACCAUCUCGUCCUCUGUCGUCCCCUUCUUCUUGUGCCCUCCAUCUUUCCCAUCAGGAUCUUUUCCAGGGAGUCUUCUCUUCUCAUGAGGUGGCCAAAGUAUUGGAGCCUCAGCUUCAUGAUCUGUCCUUCCAUUGAGCACUCAGGGCUGAUUUCCUUUAGAAUGGAUACGUUUGAUCUUCUUGCAGUCCAUGGGACUCUCAAGAGUCUCCUCCAGCAGCAUAAUUCAAAAGCAUCAAUUCUUCGGUGAUCAGCCUUCUUUAUGGUCCAGCUCUCCACUUCCAUACAUCUGUUUUAUUCUGUUACCAGAGUCCAAUGGUUGGCCUUGUCCCCAUGGCUCCGUCCCACCUCAGAAUGGGCAAAAUUUGAUGGGAGAGGCACCAUUGGCCUGCCUUCCCCUUUGACGUCAGGGGCUGGCAGGAUGCUGAGGAAUAUGUACUGGGGAAAGGGAGCCAGGAGUCGGACUCAGAGGAAGGGUGGCAGUGGUUUGUAGGGGCCUGUACCAGCCAAGAAGCAAGAGUUGGAGGCAGGGGAAGGUCAGAGCUAGAGGGUGGAGCAGAGGAUGGGUUGGAAGAAGAGGAGGAAGAGGCAGUUUGGGCAAGUGAAGGGUCAGGUGCUUCCCCUACCUUCUGCAUCACUGUAUCCCAGAUCUAGGAGGGAACUGAAAAGGGAGGAGCAGAGGAAGUUUCCACGCAGAUGCAGUCUCUAGCUGCCCAUCGAGUAAACUGGGGGAGGGGAGAGGAAUGGUCCCCUGUUGCUGCAACUGCUCCAUAGAGCAUAGACCUGGGAAUAGCUGCCUAGCUGUCAGAUUGAUGCGUGUAGAUACCCAGAGCUGUAGAAGCGGCUGUGUUGUUUUUGACAGUAAAUACUUAACUAUCUGCUGUGCACAUUCCUUUGACUGAGAAGCACCCUUGACAGUUGGGCUCAGAUCAUACAUCUCUCGCAUUGCAAAGGAGCCACUCUUCCAUCCAGGUAUCCUAGGAGAGGGAUAGGGGGAAAUCGCUGUGGAGUAUUUCCCAUGAAUAAAUCAGGCUUCACAUUAGAGGAGCCGUAUGAAGUGGAGAUGCAUCAGAAUCAGCAACCACACCACUCAUUCCAUGCCAUGAUUUGCUCUUUUAAGAACAUUUUUUGUUUAUUUAUUUCACAAAAGUUUAUACACCACCCAAAACAGUUUACAAAAAAAACCUCAAUAAACUCGAGUAAAAAAAAGUUUUAAAAAAGCUAUUCAAAACAAUCAAAAAUAAUUAAAAUCAACAAUAAGCUAAAAACUGGGGCGGUUCAGCCAGCAGAGCACGAGACUCUUUAUCUCAGGGUCAUGGUUCAAGCCCCACAUUGGACAGAAGAUUCCUGUGUUAUAGGGGGUUGGACUAGAUGACCCCCGUGGUCCCUUUCUGUACACCCUUGUACAGCCCACGUCGUCAGCGCCUGCAUGGGUUGGGUGUCGGGAGCACCUUCUUCGAUCUUCCGAUCACAGGAACGUAGGAACAGCAACACAGCAUUCCGGAGGAAUAGGUCUUGGUGCAGUGGACUCACAUUUGCUCAUGUGAGCACCUCAAAUGCAGAAGAGUAAUGGUGGCAAAGCUUUGGAGGUUUUGUUGCAUACCUAAUUUAUUUCUUCUAAUUAAACAAAUAAAAGAACAUAACAAACAUGUACGAGAGAAACAGCUCUCUCAUACUGCCAUCUUGUCUCUAGACAGCUCAAAGAAGAACCACACAGUACUAGAGACAGAAGUCUGGAAGAGUAGCUUCUGCUCCCACCUUUCUCUCAGACAGAAAGUGAAACAAACAUAAUCUGGUGAUCCUUGCAAUGGGAAGGAUGAAAAUACUGACAGUCCCUUCCAAUUCUACAGUUGUAUGAUUCUACAUUGCAUGUAUGAAAACAUACGGCAACAUUCUGCAUGUUUGGAAAGUGCCUUCAGCUGGCCGCAAAAGAGUACAGUGAAGGAGCCUGCCUGACGUCAGAAGGUAGUGGGUUUCAGUUGGUGCAGCCACACUAAAAUAUCAGUUUCUUAUGAAUUCAGAAUGAGUGUUCCGUGUCACCUGCAAUCGUGCCAACCUGCAAGGCAAUCUUGCAGGUCAACUGGUCCCAAGCUGUUAAGGGCUUUAUAUACUGAUUGUAAAGGGAUGCGGGUGGCGCUGUGGGUUAAACCAUAGAGCCUAGGACUUGCGGAUUAGAAGGUCGGCGGUUCAAAUCCCCGCGACGGGGUGAGCUCCCGUUGCUCGGCCCCUGCUCCUGCCAACCUAGCAGUUCAAAAGCACGUCAAAGUGCAAGUAGAUAAAUAGGUACCGCUCCGGCGGGAAGGUAAACGGUGUUUCUGUGUGCUGCUCUGGUUUUGCCAGAAGUGGCUUAGUCAUGCUGGCCACAUGACCUGGAAGCUGUCUGCGGACAAACGCCGGCUCUCUCGGCCAAUAAAGCGAGAUGAGCGCCACAACCCCAGAGUCGGCCAUGACUGGACCUAAUGAUCAGGGGUCCCUUUACCUUUAUACUGAUUGUAACACCUUGAGCUCGGCACAGUAGCAUAGUAAGCUGCCCCAUGUCUAGUCAGAUCAUUGGUCCAUCUAACUCAGUACUGUCUGCACAAACUGGCAGUAGCUCUCUGGGGUUUAAAAGAGGCGUCUUUUGCAUCUCUAACUGGAGACACCAGGAAUUGAGCUUGCACUGUGUUGCUGAGCCAAAACCCUUUCCCCUGUUGCACACUCCCUCAUUAAGGGACCUGCCUCCUCCUCUCAACCCCAGCGAUAUGUUCAGAAAGCAGACAAGUCUAUUUGCGGGCUCAUUCCCAAAGUAUUCCCCAUUCUUACUUUCUGGGUUCUAAUUGCGUUUCAGAUUGUGUGUAUACAUCACUAAUAUUCUGUAUCUUCAUUUUCUGGCCUGUGUAGUAAUUGAGCGUUCAGUCAUUGUUCUGCCCUCUUUUCUGUCAACACUUAUUAAAAUGAAGCAAUUAGCUAUUGUCUUAAAUGGAGUUUAGAGGUACGGCUCAUUAGUUUUAGGCUCAUUACAAUUAACUGGGAUGAUAAAUGUAAAAUCCCUUUAUUGCGGGCCCCUGUGCAGGAAAGUUGCAAGGCUUGAUUAUCUUGCGUAAAUGUUAAUUCAGCACAGAGUGUGCUGGAAGUAGCGUUUUCUGCUGGGCCUGCUUGCUUUAUGGGAGGGGGGAAAUGGUUCUGUAACAUAAAUGCUAUUAAAAGUACUAAAUCUCAGGUCCUCCUUGCCAGGGCUAAUGUGCACAUGGCAACCAAAAUUCCAUGCGCUGUAAUUGGGGAUAAAUUCAGUCUAGUUUUAAUUUUAUUGUGAAUCUCCUCACUUCCUGAAACGAGGCAUGGGCCAAAAACACAGCUAUCCUUCGAAACAUGAACUUUCUUGGCUUUUGCAAUGCAGCUCUCUGGCCAAACAAAUAUGUGAGUGCAAAUAUUUAUAUAAGGGGAAAGGGAGCAUUUUAAAAGAUUAUAUUUGUGCGGUGGGGGGCACAGAAAAAAGCAUUGCAUUAAGGGUACGGUUGCCAUAUUUCAAAAAGUGAAAAUCCGGAAACAAAUUCCGGUAUGCCUGGAAGAUCCUAGACGUAUGGCAGCCCCAACAUUAGGGGAAAUUGCUUGCAAAAAUCUCUAUGCUAGGAGAUAUGACCACUAAAAUCCUGAUGAAAAUUUGUGAGGACUUUAAAAAAAUAAAACAAAAUCACAAACUAGUGAGGAAAGGUGGCCGAUGGAAUUAAGACUGGAGAAAUGAGAAACUGAGACAAACAUGACUGGAACAUUUGUCCAUUCCUAACUGCUAAGACUUAUAUAUGAGUGUUCUGGCGGCAUUCAGUCUUUUUCAUCUCCCACUUUAUUCUUUGCUCUUAAGUACUCUGCAUUCUAUUUUCUGUUUGUUUUUUUUUUAAGUGAAUUAUUUUGUGGCGGUUUUUUUUUUUUGCAGUGUUCUUGCAUAAUAUUGCAGGUUAUUCGUUUAUAGGAUUAAACUGGUUCCUGGGUAUACCAAUGCAAAAUGUCUACCUUGAUCUCCUGAGUUAUUUGGAGAAGAUUAGCAAGGGUUUCUUGUCUCGAUAUUUUAAGUACUUACUUCCCAUUUUUGGAGCCUUCAUUGAAAGCCUUUUUGGCUGAAGGGUCAGGAUAUAAAUCCUGAAAGAAGAGAGAGAGAGAGAGAGAGAGAGAGAGAGAGAAGCAUAAGAGUGCUAGAUCAGUCCCCUAGACCUGUUCUCACAGUGGCCAACCAGAUGCCUAUAGAAAAUCUGAAAGUAAAUUAGUAAUACCAGGCUGCUCCCCCCCCCCCUUUUCUAAACCAGACUGCUGUUCAAAUGUGGUUUCAGAUCUUGGUUAGCAAAGUGACAUUAAGCCACAGUUCCCCAUUUCAGAUAUAAGGUGGAAACAUGGCUUUAAAAGUCCAGGACAGGAGUGCCAAAGCUAGAGAACAAGGGGAGGAUGGGGUAGAAAGUACAGUGGUACCUCAGGUUAAGUACUUAAUUCGUUCCGGAGGUCCGUUCUUAACCUGAAACUGUUCUUAACCUGAAGCACCACUUUAGCUAAUGGGGCCUCCUGCUGCCAUCGCGCCGCCAGAGUAAGAUUUCUGUUCUCAUCCUGAAGCAAAGUUCUUAACCUGAAGCACUAUUUCUGGGUUAGCGGAGUCUGUAACCUGAAGCAUAUGUAACCUGAAGCGUAUGUAAUCCGAGGUACCACUGUAUGGGUCCAGAGCUCAGACGUUAUGUCUGAAAUAGAAGGAAGCAGGUAAACUGACAGUAUGUAAAGGAUGCAUAUAUUGAUUUGCAUAAUUUAUAGGGCGGCAACUUGAUUAACUGAAUAUUCAUGUGAGUUUUAGCUGGUGAAUCUAGCACACCGUUCCCAUCCAUUUGCAUACGGAUAAAAACAGUAUUCCUGGAAUGAAAAAGCAUAGGAACCUAGGAAGUUGCCUUAUACUGAGUCAGAUGACUGGUCCAUCUAUCUUAGUAUUGUCUACACGGACCGGCAGAGGCUCUUUGGAACUUUCAGGCAGGGAUCUUUCCCAGCCUUACCUAGAGAUGCCUUGGGCCCCCUCAAAAUUUUCAAGGAGGGGCCCCACAGCAACAUGUACACGCUGUGCGUUCACACCACCCAACAUGCUCACUUUGCUCACAUAUGCUGCACAAGCCACAGUGUGCACACAACACGCAAGCGGGCCUUGUGGCGUGUGCACAUGAUGUGAGCAAGUCACAUGGCGCAAGCCCCCUCAAUCAUGGGGACAUGCUGGUUUGCCUGUGUGUGUCAUAGCUGUCAACUUACAGAUUUGAAAAUAAGGGACCAGCAGCCUCGAAAAUAAGGGAUCAGCAGCCAAAAUAAGGGAUCAACAAUUACUUUGAUAAAAUACAUAUUUUGUUGCAUGCAAAUGGCUUUAGAUACCUAUUAGGUCCAUAAAUUACCAUAUAGCAUAUAUUCAACAACAAAAACCAGCAACAAUUUGUUGUUGACAAAGGACAGCUGGACAUAGAAAGGGCCCCAUUACGUUCAGUAGCUUAUUUAAGGGACAUCAUCAAUAAGGGACAGCAGCGGGACAUGGCGCUGGGAUAAGGGACUGUCCCGCCAAAUAUGGGACGCUUGACAGCUAUAGUUUGUGUGUGUGUACACACACUCCAAUUUAAUAGUCUUUAUACUUAUACUUAAAGUACUCUAUCCCAAUGCAACAAAAUAGGCCUCUUAACUUGAUUUUCUGAAAGAACUAAGCAGUGCUGAAGAUGUGAAUGAGAUUUGCAUAUUUUCAUGUUAACGUUUCUGGCUGCAAUCUUGCCUACAUUAAGGCUUCCUAAAUCCCAGCAAAGUCUCUGAGAUUUAAGCAGUCAAACUGUGCUCUGGGUUACAACCAAUUCCUCAUUUCUAGAGCACUGGUACAGUGCAAUUCCGCUGCAGCUCCAUAACAAUCUCUGUGUGGUGCAUUAAACCAGGAACGACAGUCACAAGGCCACCCACAAAGUUUAAUUGCUGAGCAUGGAUUAGAGCCUAAGGCUGCAAUCCUAAACACACUGAUGGGGAAGUCAGACCCAUUUGCAUCCCUUAUACCAGCUCAGACUCUCAGUCCUUUUGCCCAGUAUUGUCUAUCUUGGCUGGCGUCAGCAGCUACCCAGAGGCUCCAUUAGAGAAUAGUCUCUUUUAACUAGAGAUGCCAGGGCUUAAAUUUCUGCAGGCGAAGGAUGUGCUCUACUACUGAGUGUUGGCUGCUUCCUCUAACGUGGGGUCCUUCUUUUCCCCUAGUGUCUGGGUUUGUCUGGAAAUUGAAUCCAGGACUUCUCACAUCCAUAGUGAGUAGCAUGCCCCUAGAUGAACAAAUGGGAUUUACUUCUGAGUAGUAGGGUGGCCAUGUGUCCUACUUUGCAGAGGACAGCCCUCUGUUUGAAGCCCUCCUCUCACGAGCAGGAGCCUGGCAAUUGACCAUCAGUAUGGUGAGAGAGAGGUGACAGUUAUUAUUUCCAGUGCUAUUUUUCUAGCAAAGAGGAUGCUGGAACUCACUAUGAACACCUCCCUUGUUCUCCUAUAAUGGCACCCACCUGAGAGGUUCCAGAACUGAGUUCUGGUGACCUUCAGCUGACAAAAAGCCCGGGUUAUUUCUAAGUUUGCCCAAAAAGUCCUGGUUAUUUCUAAAGUGCCAUGUGCAAAUUUCUUGCAAAUUGGUGACAUCUUUUGUCUGCUUUUCUUUUGGUGGUAAUAAUCCUUUUUUUUUUUUUGAGGCAAUACAAAACCAGCCACCUUACUGAGUAGACAAGUAUUUGAUAGUUGCAAUUCUUCAGCCAACAAAAACCAACAUCCUUUAUGUUCCAUGUGAUUUGCAGAAGAUUCUGAUCAUGCUUUUCCGGAUGUAAUAUUUGAGCUGUAGGGAAUAGACUCCACUUCAGAGCAGGUAUUAGCCAUUUGAGCUGGUCAGAUAUUCCCCCCUCCUCAAAGACAACUCUGUACAAAGAUUUACCUUUCAAUAAUUGCGUUGAGCACAAUUGUUUUUCUUGGCUGCUGCAGUGCUGGCACUUUUUCUACCCCAGCUGCUGCCUCUGCUGUCUCUGCAUUAAUCAAAUGAGUGUUCCCACCCAAACAGGACUCACAUAGUGAAUGGGGUAUUAAUUGCAAUGCUAUGGAGAGUUCACUUGCACCACUCAACGUGCCACUGAGAGCAAGCAAUGGCAAUUGAAAGCAGGUGUAAGUGAGGGCAAAGUGAUUGAAGCAGUGCAGAAAGUUCAAAAAACAGUAGAGAAUAGCCACAAUUCCUGCUAAUGAUGAAUACUGGCUCUGCCAGAAUUUGACCUUCCGUACCUAGUGAAAAGGCAGAUUUAGACAUAUUAAGAGCAUCAAAGCAUCGUUGCGCUGUUUCAAUUAUGCAUUAGCCUCAACUUUCUACAGGGUCUAUUCAAGCACUCAGUACUGAAGUGGACAGCCUGAUAGCUUUGAAUUGCUAUGUGCUUUUGUGAACUCCUAAGAGCUUGUCCCAUAGGUAUGUGUGCACAACAGUCUUCUAACAACAUGUCUGUUUAAUGCAGGCCCGUGCCUGGGUUUGUUGCAUCAUUUUCAGAUAAUGCUGUUUCUUGAGAUGUGUAUUGUCCAUUUCAGUAUUCUGUAGGCUAGACUAAUGGAAUGUAGCCCUGAUGGUGGGGGAUGUCCCCCCACACUGGAAAGGAACUGGAACAUGGUGGACAUUUUAGAAAAACACAUAACUGAAAGGCCCUUUUUAUACCCAUAAGUACCAGAGGUACUGAAAAAUGAUCUUGGUUGCUGGGAUCCAACUGCUGCAUCCUCACUGGAAACAAGAUCCUAGAGUCAUUUAAGCCCAGUAGCAGAAGCUGAGCCUUUGGUCAUUCCCAAAAGCAAAAGCAUCAUCUAUUGCUUCAUCAUCUCCAAGGCUGCCAUUGGCUCCCACUUCUAAUAAUAAUUUGUUAUUGGAUUUUGUAUUUUCCUUAUACUUCUGAUUUCCCAAGCUCUUCUAGCUCAAGCCAGUCCCAAUGCUGAUCAUUUAUGCUGAGCAAGUGUGGACAUCUCAGCCCCGAUUCAUCUGAUCCUGUCCACCAUAAAAAAAAUAAUGAGUGCCCCAUUCCUCCCCUUAUAUAAAAUGCAGACUAAAUUGUUGGUACCUCUUUGAUCCAUGAUCAGCCUCUGAAGCAAUGCAGAACCCUUUCCUCUUUGCUGGGAAUCCUCUUUGUACCAAGUGAACGAAAGUCCCCAGAGCCAGUUCCACCUGUAAGCUUCCACCUGACAUGUCCUGUGUUGACUACAGAAUGCAUUUCUGAAUGCCCUGGGAGUUCCUCCCUUUCCUGCCUCUCGCACAAGGUGACUAAGGAAUGUGUUUCAACAGAUAUAAACAAGAGCCUUCUUUUUUAUUUUUCAUUUCCGAAAUAUAAAGACAAAAACACAACACAGACAAAUUUACAACAUGUAACCGCUAACAGAAGGUAAUGUUCUGGAAAAGAGGAGCCCCUGGCUCUGUGUGGGUGGCAAGAGAUUUCAGGGAAAAGACUUAUUGCACCCCUUCCAGAAAGGGAGCUGUGUUAUGUCUGUUGCAGCAGAAGCAAGAACACAUUUAUUAUGGCCCAAGCUUUUAUGGACUAAAGUCCAUUUCAUCAGAUGCAUGAAGUAUUAUCAGAUGCAUGGUUAUCCCUCUGGAGCAGUUUUAGGGGAGAGGGGCUCCAGCAGGGAGGAAUCACUGAAAACUGCUUCCCUCUCCACUCCACUGAUGGAAGUCUUACUGCCAGCCAAGUGACACUCCGACACACAACGCUUUAUCCCAAUUCUAGCCACAUUCAUCUCUUCAUAAUAUUUGCAUGCUGCUUUCCCACAAAACCAAAUCAUGCUCAAAGGAAACAGGAAAGCAUUUCAAACAAACAUUGCAAAAACAACUUCGUAAUAACAUAGCAAAACAAUAGCAAAUUUAAUAAUGUGCAAAAAAGAACCCCACCCCACAUUGCAAUACUAUUGAUGUUAAUAACGUGCUACAUUCAAUUGCAAAAAUAACAAGGGAGCUUCGCAGUUUCACCUUAGUCCAAGAAACAACCCUCUUGAGAUGUUGCUCACUGUCCCUCUCCUGCAGCAGCUACAGGUGCAAACACUGAACCACUUGAUGAAUCAGAAUUCAGUAGUUUAUGGACACAAGGUGCACAAAACCUUAUGCUCUGAUAUAUUUCAGGGCUGGGGAAUUUCAGGCUCUGAAGCCAAAUGCUGCCAUCCAGGCUUCUCUGCCUGCCCCUUGGGACUCUCCCCAGGCCAUGCCACACCCCUCAUGGGCCUGGCUCCACCUGCUUGUCCUUGAAAUGUGAUCAUGCCUCUAACUUGAGGUGGUGUAGUGGUUAAGAGCGGUAGACUUGUAAUCUGGUGAACCAGGUUCGAUUCCCCGCUCCUCCACAUGCAGCUGCUGGGUGACCUUGGGCUACUCACACUUCUCUGAAGUCUCUCAGCCCCACUCACCUCAUAGAGUGUUUGUUGUGGGGAAGAAAGGGAAAGGAGAAUGUUAGACUCCUUCGGGUAGUGAUAAAGCGGGAUAUCAAAUCCAAACUCUUCUUCUUCUUCUACUUGCCAGAUGGAGAGAAGUGUGUACAGAAACCUCUGGAUUAAACAUGGGUCGAAUGUAGUUUACGUACAAAAGGAAGAAUUUCACCUGUUGCUCCAGCCACUUCUUGCCUCUGGCCAUUCCCACUACAGGUAUGUGGCCCCUGGAAGCUUGCCUAUGUUGGAAUGUGGCCCUUGAGCUGAGAAAGAUUCCCCCCUUCUUGAUAUAUUUGUUAGUCAUGUCACAAGAUUCUUGCCAGAUUUGCUGCACCAGGGCAACCGCCCUGGAGAUAAUUCCUAUAGAUAUUUAUUUCACUCCUGAGAGUUUCUUUUCCUCACACGUCUGCCUUAUUCUUUUCUAGAUGCAGAUGCCAGGAACUACUUUGUUAUUAUAAUAGCCCACAUGUGCUGUAUUUACAAUAUAUCCCCAUACAAAUGGGAUCCACUGAUUUGCAGGAUUAGAUGGUGACCCUGCUUCAUAUCCCCUUCUAAACCAAGCGAGUGAAAAUCAUUACCGACUAUCCGUGAGAUGUCCAAAGGGAAUUGAGUCUUAGCAGCCUCAUCCGAGUCCCUAAUGUACUCUAAUCCCUAAACAGGAAGGUUGAGUUGCAUUGAUAUGACGCAACGCUCUGGAUAAGUAGGGAGAUCACAGCAGCAGAGGACUUGCAGAGCAAAUCCUACAUCUCUUGUGGAAUAUAUUUAAUCAAAUGAAGGAGAAAAGCAGUGGCAAUAAUUCACUUUUCCUGCAAUGUUUCUGCAAACCGCCGUGAUUGAAAUAGAAGGGAAUGUUUUCUGAUCUGACUCUCACAGGGCCAUUUCACACUUUGCACAGUGCAAACCCGGGUCUGCCACAGUCAGCCAAUCCUAGUUUCAUAACACCUGUGUUUAUAUAUGUGGCUGCAUACAUAUCAUACAUUUAAUGCAUAUUUAAAGCACAAACCAUUUGUAAUUGUACUCUGUGGGAGUUAAACUACAGUUCCCAGGAUUAUUUGCAUGGCUAUGUGCUUUGAAUGUGCUGCACAGUGUGUACACAGUCUAUGUUUGUCUAUAGACCCUUGCAGAUUAUCUAUUUAUUAAGCAUUCAUUCUGAUUUGCUUAUGGAGAGGUGAGAUUAUGUCUGAUCUUUUCUUCUUCUUCUUGAUCAUUCAUUCUGAUUUGUCUGCAUGGUGUUUAUUUGACUAUGAGGCUGCAUUUAUCCCGAUUUGCCUGUGAGGGGUGUUCACAAAUCUUCCUGUUAGUCAUUCGCUCACCCUAUAACUUUUCAAUGCAUUUCCCCAUCACUUUCCAAACUGCAAAAAGUCCAGCUUUUUAAAAUGUAGAUUUGUUGUGCUAGGACAACAGAGCACCUUAAUCCACUUCAAACGCAUAAACUGAAAGCUCUGGUGUGCACUACUGCAAAUAUUAAUAUUGCACAUCUUGAAGCAACUGGAUGCAUAAAAACUGACUGCUUUUGGACCGAAGCAUUGUCCAGACCCAUUAGAUAUUAUUCAAAACUUUACUUGCAGAACUUUCUUCAAAACAGAACACAAACAUCAAAGAUGCAUCCAAAUAGUUCGAUACAAUUUCUUGUGCUGUCCAGUACAGGCUCAGCAUCUUAAAAAUAAAAUAAAAUUUCAAACACACCCAUAAGCAAAGGUGUGUCUCCUUACAGCCUCCAUUUUGCCUGAAGUUGCAUGCUCUUGGAGUGAGUUCAGUUAUCACAUCUUACUCUCACAGAGGCUGAGAACAAAGACUAAAGGCAACUUUAGUUUGCAACCAAAUACCCUUCUUCCCUGAUCUAAUGUUAAACACUCACAUGUUAUCUACCACAGAACAACAACAAUUAGUUAUCAACCCAUUAAGGAACUCAGAGACCACUUUUUGGUUUUCUUUAAUUUCAAGGGUAUUUUCCAAUGUCAAACCUUUCAGCAAUACACAUAGCUAUUCCCCUUUCAGUGUCAGUUAAAUAAUUACACUUAACAUGCACUCAGAUCCCUCCUGCAAAAUAUUGACAGUUGGAAGGCACUACAGUGGUACCUCAGUUUAAUUACUUAAUUCGUUCCGGAGGUCCGUACUUAACCUGAAACUGUUCUUAACCUGAAGCACCACUUUAGCUAAUGGGGCCUCCUGCUGCUGCCGCGCCGCCAGAGCCCGAUUUCUGUUCUCAUCCUAAAGCAAAGUUCUUAACCUGAAGCACUAUUUCUGGGUUAGCGGAGUCUGUAACCUGAAGCGUAUGUAACCUGAAGCGUAUGUAACCUGAAGCGUAUGUAACCUGAGGUACCACUGUAUAUGUUUGUCAGGAUCUUUCCCCACCAACACCUCUUUUUCAGGACUUUUGAUAAACUAUGAUGAUGUUGUUUUGCUGUCUGUGCGCUACAACAGCUUCCUUCUGCUGUUCUUGGAGUGGAGGGGAGACUUUUGUGCAUUUUUCUAAAUUCCUCAUAUGUUUAUGUGAAAGUGUCCAUGUUCUAAUCUAAUAUUUACUUAUUCUUAUUCUUUUGAAAAAUGCUGCAAGUCAUUUGUAUAACAAGCAACUAACCUGUUUUAUAAACAUAUAAAUAAAUUCCAAUUUUGGCCUUUUAAGAUGGGCAUUACAUGCAACGUUUUUCAUUAUUUUAUUUUGCUCCUUAAAAUAUUGCUGUAAGCUGCCCUGAGCACUGUGCAUGCCGUGGGAGGGGAGGACAUAAAUAGCCUGAAACAGGCAUUAAAUAGUCUGUGAAGAGGCUCAAAAGCUUAAACUGAAAGAGAGAAGAUGGCAGCAAACUGAUCUAAAUUUCCCCGAGUAAGGCUAGCAAAAUAUCUCAGCAGGGAAGGGGAGUGGUUCACAUAUCGCAAUCUGGGACCCACUGAAAACAUGGAGGUUCUUUCCAUAGUCACGGCUAGGCUCUUAGCAUCCCCUUCCUCCUUCCUACCACCACUGGGUUUAUAUCUGAGAGUCUGCUGCUGGUGAAGAAAUUAUCCAUAUCGUGUGAACAGCUGGCGUGCCCUUCUGGAACUAGAGAUGCUGCUGGCACCUAAAGGGGAAUUUGGAAGCAAAUUUAGAUGCACCUGCUUAAGGAAAAAUACCCCAGGAUUUGCAGGGUUUGGGGCAUUCCACUAAAAUUAAUGGAAAUUUUCAGGAAGUUCUGCAUAUCUCUUUGACCAUACAGGAAGGCUCCAGCAUUAAUGAUUUUUUUUUUCUGCAUUCUUUCCCUACAAUUGUUGUCUAUUUCUCUUUUGAGGCAGGAACAGGAUGCUGUUCCAUGGCAUGUAUUGACACUUCAGCUGCUCCACUGCAUGUUUGUUUGGGUUUAUUUUUUAUUUUUUUUGCUCUGUAUCAGAUCCAAGAUUAUCUGCCUCCAUCUGCUAUCUGUCUAUUUUGGCAACAUGACCCGUGCAUCACCCUGCUUUUCUUUUACUUCCUAGACCAGCUUUCUUCCAUUCAGCGCCUGAUGCUUCUCUCUCUUUCUAAAAGAAAAAAAUACACCAUAAAUUCCCCACAUGCCAUGGAAGAAGCAUGCUAGAAAGGAUGAUGUGGAAGAGGGGAGGACCAGACUCUCCCAUAUAAGCAACAGGGCAUGUGUAAUAAGUUACCUAAGGUGGAUUUUGCAGAAAUCUGGGAGAAUACAUGGGGUGUUGAAGGACCUUUAGGGCAGACCAUGCACAUCUGCAACAAGAAAAAUGUUAAAAUAAUUAAGAGAGGUAAAUUUGCUCUGGAUCUUAGUUACCAGGCACAGAGGCCUCCCUAGCCUUGCUGAAAUUUAUUAUAUUUGUUUCAUUAAAUUUGUAUCCCAGCCCUCUUCACAAAAGUCUCCAGGACAGCAGACUUAUCGGUAAUUUAAAAAAAUACAGUUAAAACUAAAAUACAGUAAAAACAAUUAUAGCAUUUUAAAAACUGUUUAAAACAUCUUUAGAACAAUAAAACACAGUAGAAAAUCUAAAUCAAGGUUAAGAACGAAUGUAACCCAAACACUUGUUUAUUUGGUCUGGCAAAAUUCAGCAGGAAUCAUUGCAAACUGGGCCACUGAACAUCUUCCUAGACAUGUGCAUCAGCUCUCUUAAGUUCUGCUUAUUUCAAAGGAAUGAAUAUGCAACAAGCUGUCUCUGGCUUAUCGUUUCUCUCCUUAAAUAUCUUUGCUCCUUUUGCUUGUGUCUUCUUUUGAUGGCGGAGCUGAAUAAGUGAUCAGACAUCAACAGUAAUUAGAAACAAAUUGUCAAGUGUGUUUCUCGGAGCAGGGUGUGUGUGUGUGUGUGUGUGUGUGCGCACGCAUGCAAGCAAUUUACCCCCCCUGCACAUUCAUGCAAACAGCAUUGCAAUGCUGCUUUGUGGGUACCUGUGCAUCACUUGGGUGAAAAUGUUUUGCUUGCCUCUCUUGCUCUCUGGCUUUUCAUUUCACCUCCCACUAGCAUCUGCAUUCUCUGAAAAGUUUGAAUGCGCAAUUGUAGCCUCUCUCUGUCUCUCUCUCUCUUUGUGCAGGUAAGGGGGAAGGAUGUGCUAGAGAGAGGGAGGGAGAGAAGGUAAACAGUGCUGUGACUUGCUCAGUCAGAAAACUCCCCCCUCCCCUUUCACAAUACAAGGAUAAAUAAGUUAUUUGUCAUUACCUGGGAAGAAACAUCUUUUGCCCAGGGCCUCCCUCCUGCUUCUAUUCAUACGGAGCAUCUUUUGCCAGAAUGUGGAAUAUAACCUGUCACUGCUUUUCCUUUGUAGUAUGAAGAGUAUGUUAAUAAAAGGGAGCAAUCCUCCAGACACAGCUGCUGUAUAUCCACCACUUGCUUGUGCUGGUGGCCUGUUUCAUGGGAGGGCACUGGCAUUCCCAGCAGACCAGCCUAGGCUUUCAAUGACACUUACUGAACUGGGGACAGACUUUUCAUGGCUGGAGGAUCACAGCCCAUGACCUCCAUACACCCUGCCCAAGCUUGUGCCCCAGGAAUGUCACUUUGGUGCUGCUAAUGCAGAUGGAUGCUAACAGUUUCUCUCCUGGUAUAUUGUCCUUAUUUUAAAAGGGGUUAAUCUCCUCUCUGUUUCCCUGCUCCAGUCUCUCUUGGUUGUUCGUUGUCUCUGUAGCUGCUUCUUUUAUACUUAUGGCUUUAUCAAGGCCCUGUAGAUGCACAAGAGAGCCACUCAAGGAUGAUAUUCAGUCAAUUAUUAUACAUUGUGACCGAUUAGGGAAAGGUAAGAAAGAGUUUAGAUAUCUUGUACCCUCCACAGCAGGAGAAUUUCUCAUCCUGCCUUUCCAUCAAUGAACUCAAGGCAGCAGUGUUCAGUGGAAGUUUCUAGUGUGUACUCUUUUGCUUCUGGAGAAAUUUAAGGAAGGUGUUGUCUUGAUUGGUGGUGAUCUUUAUCAUACGUUUCAACAUUACUACGAUGAAAAUAGGGACGUGCCAUUCCAUAAUGAUAAUUUUACUAUUUAUACCCCCCAACACCUUACCGUGUUGCCCCAGCCACUCUGGGCAAAUUCCAACACAUACAAAAACAUAAUAAAACAUUAAACACUUAAAAAAUCUUCCCUAUACAGGAUUGCCUUCAAACGGCUCGGGGGUCGGAUAACUACAUACCCUCCAACAUUUCUCCAAUGAAAAUAGGGACAUCCUAAGGAAAAGUGGGACAUUCCAGAACCGAAUCAGAAACUGGGACAGCUUCUCUAAAUCAGGGACGCUUUAUAUGUCCUGAGGGUUUGGACAGGAAGGGCCAGGAAGCCCUGAUUUCUCCAUCUAGGGAGUGCAAAUCUGCAAAUCUUUUAGUCUCUCAUGGCUUGAUGGCAGGAGAGACAGCCUGAUGGCCCAGCUUUCACUUUCUGUUCCUCUCGCUAUGGGUCCCUUUCCAGUGGUACCUUGGGUUUACAGUGGUACCUUGGGUUACAUACACUUCAGGUUACAUACGCUUCAGGUUACAGACUCCUCUAACCCAGAAAUAGUACCUCAGGUUAAGAACUUUGCUUCAGGAUGAGAACAGAAAUCAUGCUCCGGCGGCGCGGCGGCAGAAGGAGGCCCCAUUCGCUAAAGUGGUGCUUCAGGUUAAGAACAGUUUCAGGUUAAGAAUGGACCUCCGGAAUGAAUUAAGUACGUAACCCGAGGUACCACUGUAUGUCCUAUUCUCUCCAGGAAGGCUUGAAGGAGGCCUGGGUAGGUCUCGAGAAGAUCUCUGACCAUGCACUGGUAAUAAUUAACCUUUUGAUUCUGGGCACUGUGGCCAGUGAACUAUAACACUAGUGCAUCCCUGCACACACAAACAGCUCCAUCUCUAGGGAAAUAACAUGGCCUCUUUAAAUUAAUUACAUAAAUGUACAAGGCUGUAGAAUAUUUUCAGGUUUGAAGUUGUCAGGAGUUGAUACACCUCAGCUGGAUGUAGACUGGCAAGGAUUAACAGCCAUUAUCUUUCUGGACAAAUGAAAGUUCCCAUAAUUCUUUGGGAUGAUACUGCUUUUAAGGUAUAGAGCAGAUGAGGCCUAUGGUUUUUGUGUGUGUGUGUGUGUGUGUGUGUGUGUGUGGUGAGGUUUUUCAUAUUCCCUCACAUAAAAAGCUCCCUCUGUGUAAAAAACAAACAAAACCCCUAGCACCUCUGGGAGAGGAUUCUCCAUCCUUUUCCCACACAUAUGUGCUAUGUUUACUAAAACGUUGAUUUAAUCAUAAUUAUUAUACAUAAUCAUACAUAAUUAAUCAGGAUUAUUGUACAUAAUUAUACGUAAAUCGGAACUACAACACAUUAAUUCCUACCACUAUGUGUUAGAAAACUUACACUUAUUAGAAAUAUAAAUCUGAGGUAAGGAACAAUUUCCAGGGCAUAAAAUGUUAAGACUUCUCUUAAAUAUUAAAGCAUGGUACCAUUAAAAACGCAGAUGCUUUUUAGACAGCAUUAAUAUUUACCUAUAAUACACUAAACAUAAAAUGCUGUCGUUUGCAUAUCAUACUAAGGACACCAGCAACUUAAUUCUAAUUCCAUCUGUGAACGCUUGUAAAACCAACUACAAAUGCGACUUCCAAAUAUAUAUUUCGUAUUUCUUUAAUUUAAAGACUACAUUUCACAUUAUAAUAAAGGGAAUGGAUUGCCACUUCCUACCAUUUUCUUAGCAUUCCAAAACCACUUAAAGGCAUUCCAGUCCCAUUCGGCUCGAUUUAUUUAUUCUGCAACGGGAGGUGGGGGAAGGCAGAUCUACUGACAUACCCCAAGCCCUGCUGGUUUGUGUCAACUAAGGCAGAAGACAUGGCUGUGGGAGAUCUAUGAAAUUAUCCCACAGGAAGGUUUCAGGAUCUGUAGGAAUCCUGGGAGCCUGCUCCCUCUGACAAGACCCCCCCCCCCCGAUAACUUCCACAUCUGACUGCUGAACUGGCAGAGCAGGUAAUAUCAUUUGCUUGUGGCAGGUAUAUGGCAGAUAACUAUUUUAGCAGGCAACAAUUUCCAUUGCCACUAAUGAAACCAUACACAUAUUACGUAUUAAUUUUUAAGUAUCACUUGGGUGAUUGGUUGCUUUGUUACCAAGGAAUACUGCGGCUAUUACUUCCAAAUAAACAUGCGUAGAAUCAAGCUUUCAACUAACUAGCAACUUCACAUAGUCUUGCAAGACCAACUCUGCAUGUGGCUGCUGUAAAGGGGUAUUAUUAAGUCGCUGGAGCAUUUUAAAAAUUAACAACUUCUUGCCUAUUUAAGAUAGAAUUUUUAAGAUAGCAUUAUAAAGCUUAAAACACAACAAGGUUUAGUUUUAGUAGCAUAAUGGCAAAGACUAACUCAAAGUAUUAUUAUUAUUAUUAUUUCAAUUUAUAUACCGUCUGAAAUCCCUUUGCAUCUGCAUCAUCAUUAUUUUUUGCUACGCUGCCAUAUCAUAAAAUAUCAGGACAGUGUAUAGUGUUAAAAACAGAACACAAUAAAAAAAUUAUAAAAUAAAAAAUUAUAAAAUAAAAAUACAGUGGUACCUUGGGUUAAGAACUUAAUUUGUUCCGGAGGACCGUUCUUAACCUGAAACUGUUCUUAACCUGAGACACCACUUUAGCUAAUAGGGCUUCCUGCUGCCACCGCCACGCGAUUUCUGUUCUCAUCCUGAGGUAAAGUUCUUAACACGAGGUACUAUUUCUGGGUUAGCAGAGUCUGUAACCUGAAGAGUCUGUAACCUGAAGCAUCUGUAACCCAAGGUACCACUGUACAUAAAAUGUUUAAGGUGACUGGCUAAUCAAAUUGAAAAUUAACAGCUAAAAAUGCUUAUUGGGGUAAAAAGGUAUUUAAGAGAUGCCUGAAAGUUCACAGCAAAGAUGCCUGCCAAAUCUCUGCUGGAAGAGUCCGUCCCACAGAAGGGACCAGCAACACUAAAUGCUCAACUUUUAAUUGAGGCCCUGCAAUGUGGGGAACAACUGACAGCACUCCUCUGGAUGAUCUCAGUGAUCGUGUUAGAUUAUACGGGUUCAGGUGCUCCUUAAGAUAUGCUAGGACUAAGUUGUUCAAGGCUUUGUAUAUCAACACAAAGACAUUGAACUUGCCCCAGUAGCAUAUGCAGAUGUUUUAGCAGAGGUGUCCCAUGCUGCCCGCUGUUUGCUCCCGACAGCAGUCUAGCCCAGAGCUUUCCAAACUUUUCACGUUAGUGACACACUUUUUUAGACAUGCAUCAUUUCACGACACAGUAAUUCAGUUUUGCUAGCAAACCGGAGGUUAAACUGAUCCCUUUCCAGCCGCAGGAGGAGCGCAGGGAGCAUUUGCAGCCAACACACUAACGUGUUGCGACACACAGUUUGGAAAGCUGUGGUCUAGCCACUGAAUUCUCCACCAGCUGGAGUUUCCAGACCAGGCACAAGGGUAUCUCCACGUAAAUGGGACUGACCUAUGUGAAGUGCUGUAAAUGCUCUGAACAUAUUUUAUAGAUGUCAAGUAUUUUUGCCCCCAGUUAUUCUACAAAGCAUUCGCAAAUGAAGCUGCAAAUCAAAAGGGCAGCUGUCUACAUCACGCAGCACCUAAAAUCAAGAUACUGUAGGUUUCAGCCUUUGCAGAAUAGGGCCCAGUCGCUGAAGGACUAAUGAAUUACAGAGGCACGGUUUUUGAAAGUUCAGCAAUAUGAUAUUCAUAAAUACGGAAAGUGUUACAGUAUUAAUUUGUCUAAACCCCUCAAGGACUCCAUGCAGAAAAGAAUAGGCAGAGCAGGAAUAAAUUUAAUUAAUUAAGCAGUGGGACUACAGUAAUUGGAGGCAUAAACAAUUCAAAACUACUAUGUGAUUGUAACGGUUACAGUGGCAAUUUUUAGUGCAUUGAACUCUUACACAGAAUUGCGAUUACAGUAUCAUCAAUCUUUUUUAAAAUAAUAAAAUAAAAUAAGUGAACCACCUUUUUAGCCCUAUGUGACUAAACUCCACUCCCCACACAGGCUGGAAUUCUGAUGUCACUUUUCAAAAUACAGAGAUAGAGGGCAAAGAUCCAUGUAGGACAAAACUAAGAAACAAGGAGAGCCCUGGUGGAACAGACCAAAUACUUAUAUAGUCCAUUAACCUGUUCUCACAUUGGGAGCCUGCAAGAAGGAACUGAGAACAGCAGCAUUCUCCCUAUUUGUUCUACCCGGAAACUGGCCUUCAGAAGGAGACCGUAGCUCUCGUGGCUAGUAGCUACUGAAAGCCUUAUUCUCCAUUAAUCUGUCAAAUAUCCUUUUAAAGUGAUCCAAGUCGGUGGCCACUGAUACAUCUCGUGGGAGAAAAUCCCAUAGUCUGCACUGUGUGAAGGCCACGUUUGUUGGCUAAGAAAUGUAACAUUUCAGCAAAUUACAUGAGAACACAGAAAGGACCCUGUUGGAUGAGGCCAAAGGACUUUCUAGGAGUUUCCCCACUGUUACCUCCCUGCAAAUUGUAUCCUAGUUUCAUAUUGCAUGUAGCCAUUCAAGAUUAGCAACCAUUACCUUCCAUUAAUGAAGAAGAUGGUCCUCCAUUCCUACGUGUUGCCUUCACAGUGAGACUCAGGAUCCCAUCCUUCUGCCAGUGGGUUAGAGAAAAGGAAAGAUGCAGUUUCCAUACUGCAUAUAAAACAUAUGACUUGUUGGGUCCCCUGCUAGGUUUUUUUUAAAAAAUAAAAUCUUUAGAGCUAUCAUCUAAUUAUGCCUAAUGCAACAUUUUGAGGAAAGUGCUGAGAUUUUGCCUUGGGCAAAGUAGGUAAUGAAGGGAAGGAAGAAAGGGGGGAAACCGAGAAGGCUAGCCCAUACACCUCUAAGGGAAUGUUCACAUUUUCACCUUAGAAAGCAAUAAGUCUGAUUUUCCCGUUGUGCUGCAAAAUGCACCCUCCUCCCCCCAAAUCACCACAGGUUCCCCAAUGCAGGGGGCAUUUAUUUCUUUAUUUAAAUACCUAUACUGCCUUUCAACCGAGGAUAACAGGGUGGUGCUGUUUUUAACUCAUCCGUAGCUGAUGUGCGUUUGUACCAUUGAACUCACCUGUGUGCACUUAAUCGUUCAACAGUAACAGUGGUUACCUGGAUAUGACAUUGCAGGGAAAUACUAGAAGGCAUCAGGUACAUAUCUGAGCAUGUGCAAUCUGACUGCCCUUCUUGUGCCUGCGCUCUGGAGAGGCUUUUUGAAUUUGGUCCUUUCACUCCCACAAUGACAUCAUCACUAUAGGACCCCCCACAGCAGAAGAGGUGGCUUUGGUAAAGGGGCUCACAAGGCUUAAUAAUAAUAAUAAUAAUUUAUUAUUUAUACCCCGCCCAUCUGGUAGGGUUUCCCCAGCCACUCUGGGCAGCUUCCGACAAAAGAUUAAAAAUACAUUAAAACAGGGCCGGAUUUAGGUUUGAUGAGGCCCCAAGCUACUGAAGGUAAUGGGGCUCUUUAUAUGUCCAGCUGUCCUUUGUCAACAACAAACUGUUGCUGUUUUUGUGUUGAAUAUAUGCUAUAUGGUAAUUUAUGGACCUAAUAGAUAUCUAAAGCCAUUUGCACAUAACAAAUAGGAGCCUACACAACACACAACACUGUUACUGUAUGUAGGUUUUAUUUUUAUUUUUUUAUCUUAUAUUUUGGAAAUGUAUACCCAGGUUUUUUUUCCUUUAAUUUUUUGGGGGUGCCCAAGAGAGUGGGGCCCUAAGCUAUAGCUUGUUUAGCUUAUAAAUAAAACCGGCGCUGCAUUAAAAUGUCAGUCAUAAAAAACUUCUCUAAACAGGGCUGCCUUCAGAUGUCUUCUAAACGUCACAGAGUUGUUUAUUUGCUUGACAUCUGAUGGGAGGGUGUUUCACAGGGCGGGCGCCACUACCGAGAAGGCCCUCUGCUUGGUUCCUUGUAACUUGGCUUCUCGCCAUGAGGGAACCGCCAGAAGGCCCUCAGCGCUGGACCUCAGUGUCCGGGUUGAACAAUGUGGAGGGUGGGGAGAUGCUCCUUCAGGUAUACUUAAAGGUGUAGGGUUGCCAUAUUUUGAAGAGCAAAAAAGAGGACAUAUUUGCCGACUUCUACUCUUAACUACAGAUUGGUCUGAUGACUCUACCCAUGAAAAAGAGAAUGUGUCCAGGAAAAAAAGGACACAUGGCAACCCUAAAUUGCAUGGGCUUGUGGUUUCCAAUUGCUGUAAAGUUGGUUUAAAAGGGGGGGGGGCAGAAACAGGAUGUGCGCACACAUUACUAAGAACGCUGUGUGAACAUGGCUUUAAAAUGCAACACUAGAAACACAUUAAAUGUAAGUGUGAACAUACUCUAAGUAAGGAGGCAACUAUUUCAAAACCCUCAGUCAAGGGUUGGGGGGGUUGGGGGGAUAUCUGAAGAAUUUGAGCUAAAAGGGAAGUGGUCCAAAGCUUCAAAUUAAUAGGAACUUGCACAGGAGAGGGGGGAGUCAGUAGUUAGCUCUCAUUACCUAUUGCAUAUCCUUUGCUUUGUAUUUAAUCAAAUUUCUUGCUCAGCUUAAAUCCCCAACUGUUGUCUCGUCUCUUCAUUGUGGGCGUCGCGGUGCAAAGCGCUAAUUGAGAACACUCAUGCCCAUUCCAUGCAUCGUCUAAAGCAGCUUAUGAAAAAUAUGUUCCCGAAUAAAGCAAUUAGUCUGUUGCUGGAGCUCUACCUCAGCUUUCUUUGUUGUCUCGAAUUGCCAAUGACAAUUUUAGCUAUGGAAAAUGUUAUUUGAAAUUUUUUAGGCUGGAAGCUGGGGCCAUUUCGUUUUUAAUAUUAAUUAGAAUUAGAUACUAUCUGCUCCUUUCCCACACCAUCAUUUGGAUGUGUUCCCCUGAAUGCUUUAUACAUCUUAAUGCAAAUUAGUCUUUAUUGAUCUCUGGUGCCUGGGAAGAAAUCAAGAUUGAAUUUUGUGUAAAGCAGCUGCUGUUUAGGGAGCUGAUACUCUGAAAUCAGCAAGUGUUAUGGAUAAGGAUGAAGAUGAACCAAACCUGAUCUUCUACAGAAUGCAUCUGCAAGGGGUUUCUUUCCUUUAAUACACAGGAAUAAAUGAACAGAUGAGAGAGAAAGUGCAAAUGAAUCUCUUCUUUCCAUUUUGAAAUAGCAAGUAACAAUGAGACACUUGAUUAAUUCCACUGAUAAUAUAAUGGACUUUUCAGAGAUGAUCACUACAUUUAACUCACCAGGAAGGGGAGGCGCUGCCUGAAUUUCUUAUAAUGGCUUCCAUUCUCUGUUCUAGUUCUUUGCAACUUAAUGCUGAACACCUUUAUAAAAUACCCUUAACCCUCCCACAGUCCACAGAAAGGCUCCAUCUUCCAGGUGCCUUUGAAUUAGUCAAGAACUGUUGUUUCUGAAUAAUUUGUAGAUAAACAUUUGCAUGCAUACCUGCAGAGUAUGCAUACCUAUGAAUAUUAGCAAUGAUAAUUGCAAAUGCAUACCUACAGAAAUUGUAGCAAAUUCCACAUGCACAAUGUUCUAAACAAAUGAGAUAAAAGCCAGAACAAUUCUUAGUGUAUCAUUAUUAUUUUUCUUCCAUUUCAGAAAUGAGACCAUUAAGGAAUCCAGCACCCAGGGAGAAAUUGGAUGUGAAGAACUUUGAAAGCAUACCUGCUAAGGUCGAACGGCAGAUUUUCUGUUGUGUUUACAAAGGCUACCUAAAAUGAAAUGAGAAAUGCAGUUUAAAAAAAAAAAGGG